rnacentral:rRNA from 1 species
AUAGAGACUCAGAGCUGCAUAUCAAUAAGCGGAGGAAAAGAAACUAACAAGGAUUCCCUUAGUAACGGCGAGUGAAGCGGGAAGAGCUCAAAUUUGAAAUCUUCAAGGUUUUACCUUGACGAAUUGUAGUUUAAAGAAGUGUUUUCUGUUGGAGUUUUGGUAAAAGUUCUUUGGAAUAGGACAUCAUAGAGGGUGAGAAUCCCGUAUUUGACCAUUAUUUCCAGCUUUGUGAUACACUUUCAAAGAGUCGGAUUGUUUGGGAAUGCAGUCCAAAAUGGGUGGUAAAUUUCAUCUAAAGCUAAAUAUUGGCGAGAGACCGAUAGCGAACAAGUACCGUGAGGGAAAGAUGAAAAGAACUUUGAAAAGAGAGUUAAACAGUACGUGAAAUUGUCAAAAGGGAAGCGUUUGACACCAGUGUUGUUUUCUCGAAAAUCAAUUAAAAAUGACCGGAUUUUGCGUUGUAUUGACUUUAUCAGCUUUCUGCACUUUUUUCUUGUCUUUUUUAAUGCACUUUUCGUUUAACAAGUCAACAUCAAUUUCUUUUGUUGUAAAAGGGUCAUUGGAAGGUGGCUUUCAUUUCGGUGAAAGUGUUUAUAGCCUUUGACUUCUGCAAUCGGAGAGAUUGAGGUCUGCAGCGUAGAUCCUUCGGGGUUAGAUACAUUUGUGCUAAGUUAUAGUUUUUUAUAGACAACAUUGUUGACUAUGAUUAAUCAUGUAGCUUACUCGUUUGCGCUAUUUUACCUACGCUUAGGAUGUUGAAGAUAUGCGCGACACG